CCUACGGGUGGCAGCAUUGGGGAAUAUUGCACAAUGUGGGAAACCCUGCUGCCUCUCCUCCUCUUUCUUGCCGCCUUCCUUCUUUCUGUCCCGCUCUCUCCGCCGGGCAGCAAAUGACGGUACCUGAGUAAGAAGCCCCGGCUAACUACGUGCCAGCAGCCGCGGUAAUACGUAGGGGGCAAGCGUUAUCCGGAUUUCCUGGGUGUAAAGGGAGCGUAGACGGCAGUGCAAGUCUGGAGUGAACGGCGGGGGCUCAACCCCCGGCCUGCGCGGGCCCCUGUCCGGCUGGAGUGCAGGAGAGGUAAGUGGAAUUCCUAGUGUAGCGGUGAAAUGCGUAGAUAUUAGGAGGAACACCAGUGGCGAAGGCGGCUUACUGGACUGUAACUGACGUUGAGGCUCGAAAGCGUGGGGAGCAAACAGGAUUAGAUACCCUAGUAGUC
rnacentral:rRNA from 1 species